AUUAAACGCUGGCGGCAUGCCUUACACAUGCAAGUCGAACGGUAGCGCGGGGCAACCUGGCGACGAGUGGCGAACGGGUGAGUAAAGCAUCGGAACGUGCCCUGGAAUGGGGGAUAACGUAGCGAAAGUUACGCUAAUACCGCAUAUUCUGUGAGCAGGAAAGCAGGGGAUCGCAAGACCUUGCGUUCUGGGAGCGGCCGAUGUCGGAUUAGCUAGUUGGUGGGGUAAAGGCCUACCAAGGCGACGAUCCGUAGCGGGUCUGAGAGGAUGAUCCGCCACACUGGGACUGAGACACGGCCCAGACUCCUACGGGAGGCAGCAGUGGGGAAUUUUGGACAAUGGGCGGAAGCCUGAUCCAGCCAUGCCGCGUGAGUGAAGAAGGCCUCGGUUGG
rnacentral:rRNA from 1 species